UUUUCGGAGAGUUUGAUCCUGGCUCAGAGUGAACGCUGGCGGCGUGGAUUAGGCAUGCAAGUCGAGCGAUGGUUUGGGAAGCUGAAACCGCAAGGUCGAAGCGACUCGGACCAUAGCGGCAGACUGGUGAGCAACACGUGAGUAAUCUACCUCUAAGACGGGGAUAGCCUUGCGAAAGCGAGGGUAAUACCCGAUGUGUUCAUUUUCGUGCAAACGAAAAUGAGUAAAGGUGGCUCGCAAGAGUUAUUGCUUAGAGUCGAGCUCGCGUCCUAUCAGCUAGUUGGCAGGGUAAUGGCCUACCAAGGCUUUUGACGGGUAGCUGGCCUGAGAGGGUGGUCAGCCACACGGGGACUGAGACACUGCCCCGACUCCUACGGGAGGCUGCAGUCGAGGAUCUUUAGCAAUGGGCGAAAGCCUGACUAUGCGACGCCGCGUGAGGGAUGAAGGUUUUCGGAUCGUAAACCUCUUUCGAUGGGGAAGAAACCUUGCACUAAUCAUGCAAGCUGACGGUACCUAGAGAAGAAGCCACGGCCAACUCCGUGCCAGCAGCCGCGGUAAUACGGGGGUGGCGAGCGUUACUCGGAUUUAUUGGGUGUAAAGGGCAGGUAGGCGUUCCAUUAAGUUAGAAGUGAAAUCCUAAGGCUCAACCUUAGAACUGCUUUUAAAACUGAUGGAAUUGAGGCUGGAAGAGGGGAGCGGAAUUCCCGGUGUAAGGGUGAAAUCUGUAGAUAUCGGGAGGAACACCAGUGGCGAAAGCGGCUCUCUAGUCUAGCCCUGACGCUAAGCUGCGAAAGCUAGGGGAGCAAACAGGAUUAGAUACCCUGGUAGUCCUAGCCGUAAACGAUGAGCACUAGGUGUUGGGGAGCAAUCCUCAGCGCCGCAAGAUAACUCGUUAAGUGCUCCACCUGGGGACUACGACCGCAAGGUUAAAACUCAAAGG
rfam:Omnitrophica WOR_2 bacterium RBG_13_44_8b RBG_13_scaffold_7500, whole genome shotgun sequence.